UGCCAGCAGCCGCGGUAAUACGUACCGGACAAAUGUUAUUCGGAAUCACUGGGCUUAAAGAGUACGUAGGCUGUCUUGUAGGUGAGGUGUGAAAUCCCACGGCCCAACCGUGGAACUGCGCUUCAAACCACAAGACUUGAGGGAGACAGGGGUGAGCGGAACUGAUGGUGGAGCGGUGAAAUGCGUUGAUAUCAUCAGGAACACCGGUGGCGAAAGCGGCUCUCUGGGUCUCUUCUGACGCUGAGGGACGAAAGCUGGGGGAGCAAACAGGAUUAGAUA
rnacentral:rRNA from 1 species